rnacentral:lncRNA from 1 species
AAGUGUUUGAGGAAGUCGCGCCGCGCUGCCCGCGUUAAGAUUCCCGCAUUUUAAUGUUUUCAGGGGGGUGUCAUAGCCCCGGGUUUGGCCGCCCCAGCCCCGCCUUCCCCGCCCCGGGGAGCCCGCCCCCUGCCCCGCGUCCCUGCCGACAGAGUUAGCACGACAUCAGUAUGAGCUGGUCACCUUCCCUGACAACGCAGACAUGUGGGGCCUGGGAAAUGAAAGAGCGCCUUGGGACAGGGGGAUUUGGAAAUGUCAUCCGAUGGCACAAUCAGCCUCUGCGCUUAGAUACCUUCAUGAAAACAGAAUCAUCCAUCGGGAUCUAAAGCCAGAAAACAUCGUCCUGCAGCAAGGAGAACAGAGGGAUAUGCCAAGGAGCUGGAUCAGGGCAGUCUUUGCACAUCAUUCGUGGGGACCCUGCAGUACCUGGCCCCAGAGCUACUGGAGCAGCAGAAGUACACAGUGACCGUCGACUACUGGAGCUUCGGCACCCUGGCCUUUGAGUGCAUCACGGGCUUCCGGCCCUU